GGGGGCGGUGGCUCGCGGUCAGCAGGGCGCCGGUCAGCAGCCGGUGCCGCCGGGUCAGCCCGGCCCAGGCGCGUUCAUACUCCUGCGGCCGCCC
rnacentral:tRNA from 1 species